GACGAACGCUGGCGGCGUGCUUAACACAUGCAAGUCGAACGGAAAGGCCCUGCUUUUGUGGGGUGCUCGAGUGGCGAACGGGUGAGUAACACGUGAGUAUCCUGCCCUUGACUUUGGGAUAACUUCAGGAAACUGGGGCUAAUACCCGAUAGGAGCUCCUGCUGCAUGGUGGGGGUUGGAAAGUUUCGGCGGUUGGGGAUGGACUCGCGGCUUAUCAGCUGGUUUGUGGGGUAGUGGCUUACCAAGGCUUUGACGGGUAGCCGGCCUGAGAGGGUGACCGGCCACAUGGGGACUGAGAUACGGCCCAGAAUCCUACGGGAGGCAGCAGUGGGGAAUAUGGCAGAAUGGGCGGAAGCCUGAUGCAGCAACGCCGCGUGCGGGAUGACGGCCUUCGGGUUGUAAACCGCUUUCGCCUGUGACGAAGCGUGAGUGACGGUAAUGGGUAAAGAAGCACCGGCUAACUACGUG
rnacentral:rRNA from 1 species